rnacentral:rRNA from 1 species
UAGGGAAUCUUCCACAAUGGACGCAAGCCUGAUGGAGCAACACCGCGUGAGUGAAGAAGGGUUUCGGCUCGUAAAGCUCUGUUGUUAAAGAAGAACACGUAUGAGAGUAACUGUUCAUACGUUGACGGUAUUUAACCAGAAAGUCACGGCUAACUACGUGCCCG